UCCGAUGCUUCACCGAAGCUCUACGGCGACGGUUGUACCCAGUUGAUUUUAGCCCACCGUGCCUAUUUAUUCCCAGUAGGCCAUCGCAGACUUCCAUCCUUGCGACGUCCACGAACCGGAGCGGACGCAGCGACUUACCAUUAACAACAAUGACUUAUUUACGUCUGUGCGCCACGGUGAUCUUCUGCGCGUCACUUCUUGCGCUUUUGAUAG